GGGGGCGUACCGGUUUCGACGGGGGUAGUGAGGCUGGAAUAGCGGGCCGUGGCGCCUGGCCACGAUAAAACGGGCAACUUUUUAAAAUUAACUGACAACAAUCAGUACGCACUGGCUGCCUAAUUAGGCGCCCAUCCGCCCCGGAAGGUCCACGAGCCGGGCUCGGGUGUGAUUUGAGUGGAGACCGUGCGUGCGGUAAGCUUUGCCCGCACCAUGCAUCAUGAAGCUACCAAAUCCGGCAGGGUGUCCGUUCCCGUCCGGAUGAGGGAAUGUAAAUAACGGACUGCGCCCGGAGAAGUUCCAGUCAAGUUGCUUUCGGACGGGAGUUCGACUCUCCCCGCCUCCACCA
rnacentral:tmRNA from 1 species